AACAGCCCUGCAGGGCCCAGUGCUGGACCAGGGCCUUGUCUCCAGCCUCUCCCCCAUGGGACUCUGGGGCCUUUGGGGGCCCUUGGGGGCCUUCCUGCACCCUCACACCUACUCAUCUCUGGACUCAGCCUCAGUGUGAAUGCUCACCUCGGGCUGAGCCAACCCCUCCAGACACGUUCUGCAGCUCGAGGAAGGAACUGCCCUUUGCAGCUGGGAUCUGCCCGAGUUUCAGCAGCAGCCUUGAAUUGUAAUCCCGAGCGGCUGGCGAAUAACACAGCACACAGCACUCGAGAGCCCAGACCACCCUGGCCUGCCACACCCCCAUCCUAUGACUAUAAAAACUCGCGAGACCCUGGCAGGCACGCACAAGCUGCUGGACGUGGAGAGGAGCGGAUUGGCAGAGGAGCACUCAGGCGGCUGGACGUCGAGAGGAACGCACUGACGGGCGCCGGCACCCCGGCAGGCUACCAACCGGCAGCAGAAUGACCUGGAGUUUGGCUGGGGCAGCCAGAGGAGAGCCCGGGCCCGACUCCAGGGGAAAACCGUCCCACUCCAUCUUCUUCUGCCUUCCCCCAUCUGCUACCUCCACUCAAUAAAACCUUGCACUCAUUCUCCGAGC
rnacentral:lncRNA from 1 species